GGCUUGGUGGUCUAGUAGUAUGAUUCCUUCUUAGGGCUAGCACGUGCAUAUCACGUGACCCAAUGGAGGAGGUCCCGGGUUCAAUUCCCGGCCAAGCCC